CCCUUAGAUAUCCUGGGCUGCACGCGCGCUACACUGGAAGUUACGGAUUGAGAUACUACCUUGUCCGAAAUGGUCCGGGUAAUCACCUAAAAGCUUGUCAUAAUUGGAAUGGAUUAUUGUAACUAGUAAUCCUGAACGAGGAAUUCCUAGUAAGUCCCAGUCAACAGCUGGUACUGAUUACGUCCCUGCCCUUUGUACACACCGCCCGUCGCUACUACUGAUUGGACGUUUAAGCAAGAUUUUUAAACACUGACAGUGUGUAGUUCACGCUAUACUACAGUGAGAAGAAGAAGAUCGAGCUUACUUGUCUAGAGGAAGUAAAAGUCGUAACA
rnacentral:rRNA from 1 species